GACGAACGCUGGCGGCGUGCCUAAUACAUGCAAGUCGAGCGAAGUUUUUCUGGUGCUUGCACUAGAAAAACUUAGCGGCGAACGGGUGAGUAACACGUAAAGAACCUGCCUCAUAGACUGGGACAACUAUUGGAAACGAUAGCUAAUACCGGAUAACAGUAUUUCUCGCAUGAGAGAUAUUUAAAAGUUGGUUAUGCUAACACUAUGAGAUGGCUUUGCGGUGCAUUAGCUAGUUGGUGGGGUAAAGGCCCACCAAGGCGACGAUGCAUAGCCGACCUGAGAGGGUGAUCGGCCACACUGGGACUGAGACACGGCCCAGACUCCUACGGGAGGCAGCAGUAGGGAAUCCUCCGCAAUGGGCGAAAGCCUGACGGAGCAACGCCGCGUGAGUGAAGAAGGAUUUCGGUUCGUAAAGCUCUGUUGUUAGGGAAGAAUGGAUAUGUAGUAACUAUACAUGUAAGAGACGGUACCUAACCAGAAAGCCACGGCUAACUACGUGCCAGCAGCCGCGGUAAUACGUAGGUGGCAAGCGUUGUCCGGAAUUAUUGGGCGUAAAGCGCGCGCAGGUGGUUUAAUAAGUCUGAUGUGAAAGCCCACGGCUCAACCGUGGAGGGUCAUUGGAAACUGUUAAACUUGAGUGCAGGAGAGAAAAGUGGAAUUCCUAGUGUAGCGGUGAAAUGCGUAGAGAUUAGGAGGAACACCAGUGGCGAAGGCGGCUUUUUGGCCUGUAACUGACACUGAGGCGCGAAAGCGUGGGGAGCAAACAGG
rnacentral:rRNA from 1 species